rnacentral:rRNA from 1 species
CUGUAUGAGUAUACUGGCGGACGGGUGAGUAACGCGUAGGCAACCUGCCCUUACGAGAGGGAUAACCCAGCGAAAGUUGGACUAAUACCUCAUAUUGUGCUUAAUACGCAUGUAUUAAACAUAAAAGGCGGCGUCAUAAAGGUGCUGUUGCGUAAGGAUGGGCCUGCGUUCCAUUAGUUAGUUGGUGAGGUAACGGCUCACCAAGGCUUCGAUGGAUAGCUGGUUUGAGAGAGUGAUCAGCCACACUGGGACUGAGAUACGGCCCAGACUCCUACGGGAGGCAGCAGUGAGGAAUAUUGCGCAAUGGGCGAAAGCCUGACGCAGCAACGCCGCGUGGGGGAUGAAGUUCUAUGGAGCGUAAACCCCUGUAAGCAGGGACGAAAGUUGUAUAGUCGAACAGGUUAUACAUUUGCCGGUACCUGCAGAGUAAGCUCCGGCUAACUCCGUGCCAGCAGCCGCGGUAAUACGGGGGGAGCAAGCGUUGUCCGGAAUUACUGGGCGUAAAGGGCGUGUAGGCGGUCUAUUAAGUCAGAUGUUAAAUCCCCCGGCUUAACCGGGAACUGUCAUUUGAAACUGGUAGGCUUGAGUGUGAGAGAGGGUAGCGGAAUUCCCAGUGUAGCGGUGAGAUGCGUAGAUAUUGGGAAGAA